GUGGGGAAUCUUGCGCAAUGGGCGAAAGCCUGACGCAGCCAUGUCGCGUGAAUGAUGAAGGUCUUAGGAUUGUAAAAUUCUUUCACCGGGGACGAUAAUGACGGUACCCGGAGAAGAAGCCCCGGCUAACUUCGUGCCAGCAGCCGCGGUAAUACGAAGGGGGCUAGCGUUGCUCGGAAUUACUGGGCGUAAAGGGCGCGUAGGCGGACAGUUUAGUCAGAGGUGAAAGCCCAGGGCUCAACCUUGGAAUUGCCUUUGAUACUGGCUGUCUUGAGUACGGGAGAGGUGAGUGGAACUCCGAGUGUAGAGGUGAAAUUCGUAGAUAUUCGGAAGAACACCAGUGGCGAAGGCGACUCACUGGCCCGUUACUGACGCUGAGGCGCGAAAGCGUGGGGAGCAAACAGGAUUAGAUACCCGAGUAGUCC
rnacentral:rRNA from 1 species